ACGCACGCUGGCGGCGUGCUUCACCCAUGCCAGUCGAACGGAAAGGCCCUGCUUUUGUGGGGUGCUCGAGUGGCGAACGGGUGAGUAACACGUGAGUAACCUGCCCUUGACUUUGGGAUAACUUCAGGAAACUGGGGCUAAUACCGGAUAGGAGCUCCUGCUGCAUGGUGGGGGUUGGAAAGUUUCGGCGGUUGGGGAUGGACUCGCGGCUUAUCAGCUUGUUGGUGGGGUAGUGGCUUACCAAGGCUUUGACGGGUAGCCGGCCUGAGAGGGUGACCGGCCACAUUGGGACUGAGAUACGGCCCAGACUCCUACGGGAGGCAGCAGUGGGGAAUAUUGCACAAUGGGCGGAAGCCUGAUGCAGCAACGCCGCGUGCGGGAUGACGGCCUUCGGGUUGUAAACCGCUUUCGCCUGUGACGAAGCGUGAGUGACGGUAAUGGGUAAAGAAGCACCGGCUAACUACGUG
rnacentral:rRNA from 1 species